rnacentral:tRNA from 1 species
GUUUUUAUAAUUUAAUCUAAAAUAUUGGUCUUGUAAACCAAAAACAAGUAACUUCUUUAAAAACU